rnacentral:rRNA from 1 species
GACGAACGCUGGCGGCGUGCCUAAUACAUGCAAGUCGAACGCAGUGGGGACGGGUGAGUAACACGUGGGUAACCUCCCAUCAGAGGGGAUAACACUUGGAAACAGGUGCUAAACCGAUCCUGAUGGAUGGAACCGCGGUGCAUGAGCUAGUUGGGGAGGUAACGGCUCAACAAGGCCACGAUGCAUAGCCAACCUGAGCGACGGAUCGGCAAAACUGGGACUGUGACACGGCCCAGACUCCUACGGGAGGCAGCAGUAGGGAAUCUUCGGCAAUGGACGAAAGUCUGACCGAGCAACGCCGCGUACGUGAAGAAGGUUUUCGGAUUGUAAAACUCUGUUGUUAGAGAAGCGGUAUCUAACCAGAAAGCCGCGGCUAACUACGUGCCAGCAGCCGCGGUAAUUC